UUGACCUUAUGACCUUGACGACGAGGUCAAAGGUUAAAAGAUACGUAAUUGUCAUAUGGGGUGUCAAUUUAAAGGAAAUUUGACUACGAUUUCAAGGACGUUAAUAUUUUUGACCUCAUGACCGUUAGGACGAGGUCAUAUACGGAGAAACGUGUUGGAUAAAAUGAUCUAAUAUUAGGUAUUUAGGUUAGCUAUUUCAAGUAGCUUUUCAUAACGGAUGUUUAUGGCACCGACUUUAUUGGACCUCUGUACAGUGUCAGCUCAUUCUUAGCAUUCCCAUUCUUGGGAGUAGGAUUUAGCACUUCCUUUCUAUUUAGGUCAGACACUUUGGAAAGUGUCGUGAGGAACAGUUUCAUACAUUUAUUAAUACAUAUUUUAUUACUCAUGAUGUCUAUAUAAUCAUGUUGCAUGUUGACAAUAAAUAAUCAGUCGAUUGGCAACCGUCGUGUUGUAUCGUUGUUCAUUAUUUACCACAAAACGUUAAAGGAAACUGGAAUCGCUCUGACGCUACUUAUUUACAUUCGUUUGGAGGGUUUAUUUAUUUAUUAACCGCUGUGACCAUUAUCGAUCAAAUGUAAAUAUCUGUAUCUCAAAGAGUUGCGAUUAUCUAUCUAUUGGGGGGAUGAGAUGGAUGGAUUGAUAGAUUGCCUGGCCUGCAGUUACCGUGCAUCGGAUCAAUUUGAUCAAGAUGCAUAACACACAAGAGAGGUGACAAGUGCAAAAGGAAUAAGUGUGCAAAUUCAACCUUGUCCUAACCCAAUUCGUUUUUUGUUAACCUUUUAUCCGACAAAUUGGACAAAGCAGAAAUUAAACCAAAAUUGACAAUAAAAAAAGAUGAAUCACGUG